rnacentral:rRNA from 1 species
GUGAGGAAUAUUGGUCAAUGGGCGGAAGCCUGAUCCAGCAAUGCCGCGUGCAGGAAGAAGGCCUUCGGGUUGUAAACUGCUUUUGUACGGAACGAAACGGUCCUGGCUAAUAUCCGGGGCUAAUGACGGUACCGUAAGAAUAAGCACCGGCUAACUACGUGCCAGCAGCCGCGGUAAUACGUAGGGUGCGAGCGUUAAUCGGAAUUACUGGGCGUAAAGCGUGCGCAGGCGGUGCUGUAAGACAGGCGUGAAAUCCCCGGGCUCAACCUGGGAAUUGCGCUUGUGACUGCAGUGCUGGAGUGCGGCAGAGGGGGAUGGAAUUCCGCGUGUAGCAGUGAAAUGCGUAGAUAUGCGGAGGAACACCGAUGGCGAAGGCAAUCCCCUGGGCCUGCACUGACGCUCAUGCACGAAAGCGUGGGGAGCAAACAGGAUUAGAUACCCCGGUAGUCC